rnacentral:miRNA from 3 species
UAACCGGUUGAACAACUGAACCC